rnacentral:rRNA from 1 species
UGGCGAACGGGUGAGUAACACGUGGGUAACCUGCCCAUCAGAAGGGGAUAACACUUGGAAACAGGUGCUAAUACCGUAUAACACUAUUUUCCGCAUGGAAGAAAGUUGAAAGGCGCUUUUGCGUCACUGAUGGAUGGACCCGCGGUGCAUUAGCUAGUUGGUGAGGUAACGGCUCACCAAGGCAACGAUGCAUAGCCGACCUGAGAGGGUGAUCGGCCACACUGGGACUGAGACACGGCCCAGACUCCUACGGGAGGCAGCAGUAGGGAAUCUUCGGCAAUGGACGAAAGUCUGACCGAGCAACGCCGCGUGAGUGAAGAAGGUUUUCGGAUCGUAAAAACUCUGGU